UCAGUACCGUGAGGGAAAGGCGAAAAGAACCCCGGGAGGGGAGUGAAAUAGAUCCUGAAACCGCAUGCUUACAAAAAGUCGGAGCCCUUUGGGGUGACGGCGUACCUUUUGUAUAAUGGGUCAGCGACUUACAUUCAGUGGCAAGCUUAACCGAGUAGGGAAGGCGCAGGGAAACCGAGUCCGAACAGGGCGAUUUCAGUCGCUGGGUGUAGACCCGAAACCAGGUGAUCUAUCCAUGGCCAGGAUGAAGGUGCCGUAACAGGUACUGGAGGUCCGAACCCACUACUGUUGCAAAAGUAGGGGAUGAGCUGUGGAUAGGGGUGAAAGGCUAAACAAACCUGGAAAUAGCUGGUUCUCUCCGAAAACUAUUUAGGUAGUGCCUCAAGUAUCACCAUCGGGGGUAGAGCACUGUUAUGGCUAGGGGGUCAUCGCGACUUACCAAACCAUUGCAAACUCCGAAUACCAGUACGUACUAUCCGGGAGACACACGGCGGGUGCUAACGUCCGUCGUGAAAAGGGAAACAACCCAGACCCACAGCUAAGGUCCCAAAUUCACUGCUAAGUGGAAAACGAUGUGGAAAGGCAUAGACAGCCAGGAGGUUGGCUUAGAAGCAGCCACCCUUUAAAGAAAGCGUAAUAGCUCACUAGUCGAGUCGGCCUGCGCGGAAGAUGUAACGGGGCUAAAUCAUUCACCGAAGCUGCGGACUUGUGCUUGCACAAGUGGUAGAGGAGCGUUCUGUAAGCCGUUGAAGGUAAACCGGGAGGUUUGCUGGAGGUAUCAGAAGUGCGAAUGCUGACAUGAGUAACGAUAAGGGGAGUGAAAAACUUCCCCGCCGAAAGACCAAGGGUUCCUAUCCCAUGCUAAUCAGGGUAGGGUGAGUCGACUCCUAAGGCGAGGCUGAAAAGCGUAGUCGAUGGGAAACGGGUUAAUAUUCCCGUACCGACCAAUACUGCGAUGGGGUGACGGAGAAAGCUAGGCAAGCGCGGCGUUGGUAGUCCGCGUGAAAGUAAGUAGGCUGAGAGACUAGGCAAAUCCGGUUUCUUAAGGCUGAGAUACGAGACGAGUGUCUAAGGACACGAAGUUGUUGACGCUAUGCUUCCAGGAAAAACCUCUAAGCUUCAGGUAUUGGUGAUCGUACCCGAAACCGACACAGGUGGUCAGGUAGAGAAUACUCAGGCGCUUGAGAGAACUCGGGUGAAGGAACUAGGCAACAUGGCACCGUAACUUCGGGAGAAGGU
rnacentral:rRNA from 1 species